CUAGCCGUAAACUAUGGACGCUAGAUGUUCCUGCGUUUAAGCGGGAGUGUCGAAGCUAACGCGUUAAGCGUCCCGCCUGGGGAGUACGGUCGCAAGAUUGAAACUCAAAGGAAUUGACGGGGGCCCGCACAAGCGGUGGAGCAUGUGGUUUAAUUCGACGCAACGCGAAGAACCUUACCUGGGCUUGAACUGCUGAUAGUAGGGACCUGAAAGGGCGACGAUCCUGGAUUCCAGGAAGUCAGCAGAGGUGC
rnacentral:rRNA from 1 species